UCAAGCUGUAAAGGGCGCAAGGGGAAUGCCUUGGCACUGAGAGCCGAUGAAGGACGCGACAAGCUGCGAUAAGCUUCGGGGAGCCGCAAAUGGGCUUUGAUCCGAAGAUUUCCGAAUGGGGAAACCCGGCAGAGCAAUACUCUGUCAACGUUAACUGAAUUCAUAGGUUAACGUAGGGAACCGCCUGAACUGAAACAUCUAAGUAGGGCGAGGAAAAGAAAUCAACCGAGAUUCCGCUAGUAGUGGCGAGCGAACGCGGAAGAGGCCAAACCGGAGAGAGUAAUCUUUCCGGGGUUUGGACAGCAAUGUGUAGUCAUGGAAUUAGCCGAAUGCGUUGGGAAGCGCAGCAACAUAGGGUGAUAGCCCCGUAGGUGAAAAGGAAGUGACGCUAGCUGGAUCCAGAGUACCACAGGACACGUGAAACCCUGUGGGAAUAUGGGGGGACCAUCCUCCAAGCCUAAAUACUACUCAGUGACCGAUAGAGAAGCAGUACCGUGAGGGAAAGGUGAAAAGGACCCCGGGAGGGGAGUGAAAAAGAACCUGAAACCUUGUGCCUACAAGCACCGAGAGCUCGUUAAUGAGUGAUCGGGUACUUUUUGUAGAACGGUCCGGCGAGUUAAUGUAAGUAGCAAGCUUAAGGUACUGGAGUACUGGAGGCGCAGCGAGAGCGAGUCUGAAUAGGGCGACUAAGUUACUUGCAUUAGACCCGAAACCGGGUGACCUAUCCAUGAGCAGGCUGAAGCGGUGGUAAGACACCGUGGAGGGCCGCACCCACGUCCGUUGAAAAGGCCGGGGAUGACUUGUGGAUAGCGGAGAAAUUCCAAUCGAACUCGGAUAUAGCUGGUUCUCCCCGAAAUAGCUUUAGGGCUAGCGUUAUGAUAGAUUACCGGAGGUAAAGCACUGAAUGGGCUAGGGGCCGCGAGGUUACUGAACCCUAUCAAACUAAGAAUGCCGGAUAAUUGUUUCAUAGCAGUCAGACUACGUGAGAUAAGUCUCGUGGUCAAAAGGGAAACAGCCCAGAUCCGCAGCUAAGGUCCCAAAUAGAUGCUAAGUGGAAAAUGAUGUGAAACUGCGAAAACAACCAGGAUGUUGGCUUAGAAGCAGCCACUCAUUCAAAGAGUGCGUAAUAGCUCACUGGUCGAGUGGUUUUGCGCAGAAAAUGUAACGGGGCUAAGCAUCUAACCGAAGCUCGGGCAGUAUUAAAUACUGGGUAGGGGAGCGUUGUGUACGGAACGAAGUCAGAGCGAAAGCACUGGUGGACUGUACACAAGUGAGAAUGCCGGAAUAAGUAGCGAGAAUUAUGUGAGAAUCAUAAUGGCCGAAAAUCUAAGGUUUCUUGGGGAAGGUUCGUCCGCCCAAGGUUAGUCGGGAGCUAAGGCGAGGCCUAACGGCGUAGUCGAUGCACAUACGGUAGAAAUUCCGUAACCACCGAACUUUAAGCAUAAGGGACGCUUUCAUUAAGGUUAUCCCGGGCGAUGGUUGCCCCGGGCGUAAGGGACCGAAAUAUAGUAGGGAAGUAACUGGCGUGAGAGACGAGAAAAGCUUAUGUGUAUACUAAGGUGCCCGUACCGCAAACCGACACAGGUAGAUGGGAUGAGUAUUCUAAGGCCAACGGGAGAAGGGUUGUUAAGGAACUCGGCAAAUUGGCCCCGUAACUUCGGGAUAAGGGGCGCUGCGAGCAAUGCAGCCGCAGUGAAAAGGCCCAAGCGACUGUUUAGCAAAAACACAGCUCUCUGCUAAAUCGAAAGAUGAUGUAUAGGGGGUGACGCCUGCCCGGUGCUGGAAGGUUAAGGGGAGUGCUUAGCGCAAGCGAAGGUGCGAACUUAAGCCCCAGUAAACGGCGGCCGUAACUAUAACGGUCCUAAGGUAGCGAAAUUCCUUGUCAGGUAAGUUCUGACCCGCACGAAUGGCGUAACGAUUUGGGCACUGUCUCAACAGCCCGCCCGGCGAAAUUGUAGUACCGGUGAAGAUGCCGGUUACCCGCAACUAGACGGAAAGACCCCAUGGAGCUUCACUGUAGCUUGAUAUUGGAUUUCGGUAUUCCAUGUACAGGAUAGGUGGGAGACUUGGAAGCGCGGGCGCCAGCUUGCGUGGAGUCAACCUUGGGAUACCACUCUUGGGAUACUGGAAUUCUAACCUGCGGCCCUGAAUCGGGUCGGGGGACACUGUCAGGUGGGCAGUUUGACUGGGGCGGUCGCCUCCUAAA
rnacentral:rRNA from 1 species